rnacentral:rRNA from 1 species
UGGCGAACGGGUGAGUAACACGUGGGGAAUCUGCCUAUAAGUGGGGGAUAACAUUCGGAAACGGAUGCUAAUACCGCAUAUAUUCAAAAACCGCAUGGUUUCUGAAAGAAAGACGGCUUUGCUGUCGCUUAUAGAUGAUCCCGCGGCGUAUUAGUUAGUUGGUGGGGUAAUGGCCUACCAAGACCAUGAUACGUAGCCGACCUGAGAGGGUGAUCGGCCACACUGGGACUGAGACACGGCCCAGACUCCUACGGGAGGCAGCAGUAGGGAAUCUUCCACAAUGGGUGCAAACCUGAUGGAGCAAUGCCGCGUGAAUGAAGAAGGUCUUCGGAUCGUAAAGUUCUGUUAUUAGAGAAGAACAAGUCAAGGAGUAACUGCCUUGACUUUGACGGUACCUAACCAGAAAGUCACGGCUAACUACGUGCCAGCAGCCGCGGUAAUACAGAGGUGACAAGCGUAGUCCGGAAUUAUUGGGCGUA